UGGGGAAUUUUGGACAAUGGGGGAAACCCUGAUCCAGCCAUCCCGCGUGUGCGAUGAAGGCCUUCGGGUUGUAAAGCACUUUUGGCAGGAAAGAAACGUCAUGGGUUAAUACCCCGUGAAACUGACGGUACCUGCAGAAUAAGCACCGGCUAACUACGUGCCAGCAGCCGCGGUAAUACGUAGGGUGCAAGCGUUAAUCGGAAUUACUGGGCGUAAAGCGUGCGCAGGCGGUUCGGAAAGAAAGAUGUGAAAUCCCAGAGCUCAACUUUGGAACUGCAUUUUUAACUGCCGGGCGAGAGUGUGUCAGAGGGAGGUGGAAUUCCGCGUGUAGCAGUGAAAUGCGUAGAUAUGCGGAGGAACACCGAUGGCGAAGGCAGCCUCCUGGGAUAACACUGACGCUCAUGAACGAAAGCGUGGGGAGCAAACAGG
rnacentral:rRNA from 1 species